CCCUUAGAUGUUCUGGGCCGCACGCGCGCUACACUGAUGCAUUCAACGAGUCCAACCUUGACCGAGAGGUCCGGGUAAUCUUUGAAACUGCAUCGUGAUGGGGCUAGAUUAUUGCAAUUAUUAAUCUUCAACGAGGAAUGCCUAGUAAGCGUGAUUCAUCAAAUCGCGUUGAUUACGUCCCUGCCCUUUGUACACACCGCCCGUCGCUCCUACCGAUUGAGUGUGUUGGUGAGGAGUUUGGAUUGGCCUCGGAAGGUGGUUCGCCACCGUCCGUAGCUGAGAAGUUCUCCAAACCGCCCCACUUAGAGGAAGGAGAAGUCGUANCA
rnacentral:rRNA from 1 species